AUGAAUGUUUUUAGAGUUAAAAUAUGGUAAAAUUUACAUAUGUGGUGUUGUAUGAAAAAUACGGUUAAUAUUAGUAGAUAUAAGCCACAAAAACAAAAGUUUUCUGUAGUUCUAAGCAAUUUUUAAGCAUAUAAAGAUGUCCUGAGCCCCCAGAAUUUGAGCACCACUGCUCUAUGCCAUGCUAGAAAGCCUGGGGAUUGUUUACUCUUGGUCAGCCACUCCCUAUUAUGAAAUCAACUGUGUCAGGGAGCAGAGGUCUGGUGGGUAGGUUUGGUGUAAGGCAUGGCCAUGAAUACCCAUUCCUCAGGUCCAGGUGGGGCAGCCAUCCCUUAGAAGGAGCUGUAGGGGCAGCAGGUGCCAUGAUCAAAUGGCCAGCACACUGGUCGAGUUUGGCUCAUCCUUUAGAUGCUCACAGACUCCGGGAAGCUGGUGUUCUCUUGGGCUAACGUGGCUAUGCCCUAGACCUUGCUAACCUUAAAAGCCUUGUGACUUGGUUUGGCUCUGUGUCCCCACCAAAAUCUCAUCUUGAAUUGUUAUCCCCACGUGUCGAGGGAGGGAAAUGACUGGAUCAUGGGGGCGGUUUCUCCCAUCCUGUUCUCAUGAUAGUGAGUGCGUUCUCAUGAGAUCUGAUGGUUUUAUACUCAUCUGGCAUUUCCCCUUCUUGCAGUUCUCUGUCCUGUUCCCAUGUGAAGAAGGUCCUUGCAUCCCAUUCUGCCAUGAUUGUAAGUUUCCUGAGGCUUCCCCAGCCAUGUGGAACUAUUCCCAGAAUGGAGCCCCAGCAGAGGAGCAGGCAGAUAUCGGCUGCUGCUCUCAGCCUCCUCUCAGCACCCUUGUCUACACGCAGGGGUUCUGCCAAGCUGAGCUGAACCAGAAACCCACUUGGGAGAGACCCAGGAGCUGAGAAGCACUAGCCAGUGGUAGUAGCCCUUCCAGUGGUCCCUCCAAAUUCACGGCCCCAGGAGUGGAGAAGCCCUGCUUGAUGCUCUCUGGCGUCAGCUCCUGAAGGUUCUGAGGGGAGGGAUGCCUUGGAGUGCAGAUUAGGAAGUCUGUGAACUCACUCCAGACCAUGCAGGGAAAGGGAGGUGCCCCAGGUUUGCUUUUUCUGCCCUUCCUUACUGGUGCUACCUUUGUAUUCUCAUCAGGAACCCAGUUGCAUUAUGUUGUCUUCGGCUUCCCUGCAUAUCUCAGCCCUACCUCAAGAAAGGAUGAGGAAGCUGAGUCUCAAAAGGCUAAGUGACCAUAUUCUCACAGCAAGUGAUGGAACGCGAAUCUGAAGCCAGGGGUAUGUGACCUCAAAGCCCAUGCAGCUCCCACAAGGGUGGUGUUUCCUACCUGGCCCUUUUUAUUCC